UGCAGAAUCCCGUGAACCAUUGAGUCUUUGAACGCAAGUUGCGCCCGAAGCCAUUUGGUUGAGGGCACGUCUGCCUGGGUGUCACGC
rnacentral:rRNA from 1 species